rnacentral:lncRNA from 12 species
GCACUCUUCUUAACCUCAGCCUGACCUCACCCUGAACUCAGCAAGUAACAAUGUCUCUUCUUAGAAAAAGGAGAGUUGAUUAGAAAACCCCUUCCACUUCUUCAAUAUUUCUGGGCUUCUACUUGACCCUUGAACAACGUGGGUUGGAAGUAAAUGACUCCACACGGAUUUUUUUCAACCAACACCCUUUUCGAACUUCUGUAUCCUGUAAUUGUUUCUUGAGAGAAGAAGGAAGAAUUGAAGCUCUCAUGCUCAGAAUGCCCAUGGGAACAUGUUGCAGAUGUGAACUUCAACUGCUAGAUGUGUCAGAGCUGAAAAUGCUCUGCUUUUCCUAUCCGUUUGUGGCAUGGCCUCAAAGUUUUUUGAUGAAUAUUACUAUGGGCUUCUUCUGGUUAGUAUUUAUAUUGUUCCUGCUACAUUCUUUUAAAUUUCCUCCAAACUUAAUAUUUUCUUUUCACAUGUGUUAUCAUUUACUUGUAUUGUUUUUAAGUUUUUAAUGCAUUGUUUAUUAUUUAUUUUAUUCUUUUCAAUCUCUUUAUUGGGUCUUCUGUUGAAAAAAAAAAUGCCCGUAUUUUUGGUUCUUGUUUUGCAGGUAUGAGGAAGGGUUACACUUACUCACACUUUGAAGUUAAAGUGUGGCCAACUGACUUGCACUGCCCAGUGAAACAUGAGGAAAUGUGACUCAUGUCACCACCAGAUGUGCAAAUCUUUAUGCUAUCUCUCACUGCUGUGGCACAUGCAGAAGACUCUUGUUGAGAGAAAGGAGAGAGUAGGGUCUCUGUCAGCCUGAGACCCUGAGUGGCUCCAAUGGAGUAAGAACCUGCCUGUUGACUCCUGGUAAUAUGAAGUAUGAGUUAGAAAUAAUGUUAUGUUACUUUUAAUAAUGCUAUCUUGAUAUUUGUUUCAUAGCAUAACAAGCCUAACAAGCCUAUCUUGACUCUUAAAACAACAUACAUAUUAACAUUUAUUAUAACUCAUGAACCCAAACUGGGUUUCUAUUAUAUUAUUUUAUAUGUUUUUCUGUAUGUUUGGAAUAUUUCAUAAUACUAUAAUUUAAAUUAAAAAUAAUGGUGAAAGAAUAUUGUUUUCAUGUUCAUAUAUAUUUUAAGGAAUAGAGAAUUGAACAACUUGUUCCUAGAUCAAAAUAUUCCCAUAUAUUUAAUUCCCACAAAUUUCUAUGAUAAUAGCACAUUAAAAUACUUUUAUUUUCUUUACUUGAGUUCAAUUUUUCUAUGUGCUUUAAUAUAGAGGGUUACUAAUUAGUGUGUUUGGUUUCUGUUCUCAGGUUCCUUGCCCUGGGCCAUAUUCAGGGAGAGACACUGUCACCCUGCUGUAAUCCCUGCAAUAAAACAAUUGGGAACUGUUUAGGCA